rnacentral:rRNA from 1 species
AUUGAACGCUGGCGGCAGGCUUAACACAUGCAAGUCGAGCGGGGGAAGGUAGCUUGCUACCGGACCUAGCGGCGGACGGGUGAGUAAUGCUUAGGAAUCUGCCUAUUAGUGGGGGACAACAUCUCGAAAGGGAUGCUAAUACCGCAUACGUCCUACGGGAGAAAGCAGGGGAUCUUCGGACCUUGCGCUAAUAGAUGAGCCUAAGUCGGAUUAGCUAGUUGGUGGGGUAAAGGCCUACCAAGGCGACGACCUGUAGCGGGUCUGAGAGGAUGAUCCGCCACACAGGGACUGAGACACGGCCCGGACUCCUACGGGAGGCAGUAGAGGGGAAUAUUGGACAAUGGGGGGAACCCUGAUCCAGCCAUGCCGCGUGUGUGAAGAAGGCCUUAUGGUUGUAAAGCACUUUAAGCGGGGAGGAGGCUACGCUAGUUAAUACCUAGGGAUAGUGGACGUUACUCGCAGAAUAAGCACCGGCUAACUCUGUGCCAGCCGCCGCAGUAA